UAGUAAACUGUUAACCCUCCACUCUCUCUCUCUCUCUCUCUCUCUUAAAAAACAUACAAACGAAGUAACACUAAACAGUGGCAUUCACUUUUUCUAGAGUUCUCAUAGAGACCACAAAACUCUCUCUCUCUAGAACUAUUACUAGUACCAUUUUCUCUUUCCACUUUUUUUGAUCCUUGAACAACCCCCACUCUCUCUCUGUCUCUCUUUCUCUCAAUUCUCUUCUUCUUCCAUGGAUAAUAAUGCUGUAAAGAACAUCCCCAAUAUCAAUGGAGGAACCUUGAUCUCAGACCUCAAAAGCCUCUUCUUCAUCCUCAAAACAAGAAGAACCGUUGUUUUUGUAUAUGGGUUCAUGCUUGCUUUUGUUGCUUUCACUAUUUUCUUAGCUUUCAGCCCCUCUUCUAACUCUGCCUCUCCUUGGUUCACCAACAUCUUCAGUAGUAGUAGCACCGCCACCGACGGUGAUUCUGAUAGAUCUCAAUUCUCUUCUAUUUUCUCCUACUUCUUCCCCAACAACACUUCCCCACAAACCACUAAUACUUAUAGAUCUACUAAUACCACAUUCCAACCUCCUAGUCCCAACAAAGAGCUUCAAAACCAUCCUCAAACUACGCCGGUUUCUGAUAAGGGUAAAGUCCCAAACUCAAAUCAGACUAGUACCACAUUCCAAUCUCCUAGUCCCAGCAAAGAGCUCCAGAACCAUACUCAAACUACACUGGUUUCUGAUAAGGGUAAAGUCCCAAAUCCAAAUCAGACUAUACUUGUUGCCCCAGAAUCUCCGGUGGCAGAAGCGAAUCACACUACAACUGUGCCUGUGAAUUCUGUUCCUAGUGUGAAUAAAGAACCAACUUCUGUGAAUAACAAAACUCAAAGUGUAGAGAAUUCUGAUAAAGGUAAAGUUUUGAACACCAAUCAGACUUCAAUAUCAGCCCCGGCAAAAGCUCCUGUGGCUAAAAAUCAGAGUUUGAGUUCAUUGGGUUCUCCAAGUAAGAGUAAUUCUGAUGAGGCAGGGAAAGGCGCUUCCCUGUUGAAGAAACAGGGCAAUGAGAGUAAAUCAGGUGUUUCGGUGAAGAAGGGAGGGGAUAGUUUGGUGGAGUCUUUGAUUAACUGUGAUUUUUUUGAUGGGGAAUGGGUGAGAGAUGAUUCGUAUCCGCUUUACAAACCUGGGUCUUGUUCGCUGAUUGAUGAGCAGUUCAAUUGUAUUCUUAAUGGUAGACCUGAUAAAGAUUACCAGAAGAUGAAAUGGAAGCCUAAGGGGUGCAAUCUUCCUAGGUUGGACGGAAGUCGCUUAUUGGAUUUGUUGAGAGGCAAGCGGCUAGUUUUUGUUGGUGAUUCUCUGAAUAGGAAUAUGUGGGAAUCUCUAGUUUGCAUCUUGAGGAACUCAGCGAAAGAUAAGAGCAAGGUUUAUGAAGCCAAUGGUAGACAUUAUUUUCGAGGGGAAGCAUCAUACUCUUUCAUAUUCAAAGAUUAUGACUGCACUGUAGAGUUCUUUGUAUCUCCUUUCUUAGUUCGAGAAUGGGAAUUGCCAGACAAAAAUGGAUCAAAGAAGGAAACUCUUCGUCUUGAUUUAGUAGGGAGAUCUUCUGAUCAAUAUAAAGGAGCAGAUUUUAUCAUCUUUAACACUGGACACUGGUGGACUCAUGAAAAAACUUCUAAAGGGAAAGACUAUUAUCAAGAAGGAAGCCAUGUCUAUGGUGAAUUGAAUGUUCUUGAGGCAUUUCGAAAAGCUUUAACUACAUGGGCCAGAUGGGUUGAUGCCAAUAUAAAUCCAUCGAAGUCUCAAGUUUUCUUCAGGGGUUAUUCCGACACCCAUUUCAGUGGUGGACAGUGGAAUUCUGGUGGGCAAUGUGAUCAUGAGACUCAGCCCAUCAAGAAUGAGACAUAUCUGAGGCCAUAUCCACCCAAGAUGACCGUACUGGAGAAAGUACUCAAAGGGAUGAAAACUCAUGUCACCUACUUGAAUAUUACAAGAAUGACAGAUUUCAGGAAGGAUGGUCAUCCAUCAAUUUACCGGAAGCGGUACCUGUCUAAGGAGGAAAGGAGAUCACCAUUGAGGUUCCAAGACUGCAGCCAUUGGUGCCUACCUGGUGUUCCUGAUGCAUGGAAUGAGGUUUUCUAUGCCGAGCUCUUAAUAAAACAGCAUAAAAUGCAGCAACAUCAGAAGAGACCUUAGCGUUAGAGAUUGGCAUCAUAAUAGCUACUAUUGUGGAUCAUGAAUACUUAGCGGGAGCAAAAUACAAAUCAUUGCAUCAACAAAAUAAGAAAAUAACAAAUGGCAUAAGCUGCCGCAUUUAAAGAAUGUUGACAGCAAAUUCAAUAAUGCUCAUCAACAUUACCAGCUCUUUUCUAUCACACACACGUUUCUUGGUUGCUUGAGCCUACCUCUUCCAUGAAGUCGACUAGACAAUUCCAUCACAGUACAGCAAUGGGGUUAUGGCUUUUCCUUGAGAGAUACCCGAUUCUAAUUGAUGGAGUGAUAAGUGAUUAUAGAGGGUGUUGAAAGCUAGAUCAUCUCAAGGAAUCGACCAUUGAGAAUGACAAUGUUUGUUUGCUUGGGCGUAUCUUACACACUCUCCACACGAGCAUCAUGUACAAUAUGUGAGAAGUGGGAAUUUGAUGAUUUAUGAAGACUCAUGACUGAUUGAGUUUUUAGGUGUGAUUGGUUACUUAUGUUUAAUCAAUUCUAGGGAAAAUUGUAUUUCUCCUCUUAAGAUAAAUUGUAACAAUCCCCUUG